rnacentral:rRNA from 1 species
UGGCGAACGGGUGAGUAACACGCGGGUGAUCUGCCUUGCACUUCGGGAUAAGCUUGGGAAACUGGGUCUAAUACCGGAUAGGACAGCUGUUUAGUGUCAGUUGUGGAAAGUUUUUUCGGUGCAAGAUGAGCUCGCGGCCUAUCAGCUUGUUGGUGGGGUAAUGGCCUACCAAGGCGUCGACGGGUAGCCGGCCUGAGAGGGUGGACGGCCACAUUGGGACUGAGAUACGGCCCAG